rnacentral:rRNA from 1 species
GAGUUUGAUCGUGGCUCAGGACGAACGCUGGCGGCGUGCUUAACACAUGCAAGUCACGGGGGGUAGCAAUACCAACCGGCGAACGGGUGCGUAACACGUGAGCAACCUACCGAUUUGAGGGGGAUAGCUGGCCUAACGGCCAGGUAAUACCGCAUACGCUUUUCUGGUCACCUGACUGGGAAAGGAAACCUCCGGGGCAGAUCGAGGGGCUCGCGGCCUAUCAGCUAGUUGGCGAGGUCACGGCUCACCAAGGCGACGACGGGUAGCUGGUCUGAGAGGAUGGCCAGCCACAUUGGGACUGAGAAACGGCCCAGACUCCUACGGGAGGCAGCAGUGGGGAAUCUUGCGCAAUGGGCGAAAGCCUGACGCAGCGACGCCGCGUGGGGGAUGAAGGUUUUCGGAUCGUAAACCCCUGUUGCCCGGGACGAACUUCCUCUUUCGAGAGGAUUGACGGUACCGGGUGAGGAAGCACCGGCUAACUCUGUGCCAGCCGCCGCCGUAAC